UCCGCGGUAGCUCAGUGGUAGAGCGAGCGACUGUUAAUCGCUUGGUCGCAGGUUCGAAUCCUGCCCGCGGAG
rnacentral:tRNA from 1 species